UGGGGGGAGGGCAAACAUUUGUGUUGUAAGAAAGUGGUUGAAACAAAUGAAACUGUGUUGGUGUGAAGGUUUCUGCAUGACCAGAGAAGGCCCCGUCACAGGGCUCUGUCACGAUGUGCAUUUGACAUCAGGGUCUUCCUACCCAUCUCCAUCAGCAGGUCAGCCCAUCCUCACUGGUGACAUGUUUAGGUCCUCGCUGUAACCCACUGACUCCAGCUGGAUUCAGUGAAAUGUUGCCAGUUAAACAAGCAGCAUAAGCACUGCAGGCAUUGCCUUUAGAGACAAGCAGGUUUGCUGAUUGCCGUAGAGGGCCAGGUUGUUUUUGAGUCAGGCUCCAAUAGAUACUGGAGGCAGACCAAUGCUGUUGUUGAGAAUAUAAUUUGAUGUACUAAGAUAAAGUUAUUGCCUAUUGCAUAUCUUAAUUUUUUAAAAUUCCUGAGGCAUAAAUUCUGUUUUUCCUAAUGUGAGCAUACGUCUCCUGAAUGCCUUUAAGAGCUGCAAAUGUUCACAAGAACAGCAAAGUCUUGACCUUAGGACUGCUAAGAAGUUUUACCAUUUGCAAAUUAUUUAAGUAACAGUUCCUGCAAGCAUGACUUUAAAAAGAAAAAAAAAAACAAACAACCUGUUCUUCAAGCAAAUAAACCUGGGCUGCCUCCCUGGCUGGUGAUCUCCCGUUCCAUGACUGAGCCAGACAUGGUACAGAAGCUGAGCUCUGGUCUUGUCUCUUUGGUCAAUCUUUCUUUGGUUUUCUCUGUUUCCUUCUUAGAUUUCUGAUUUAGAUGCACAUUGUACCUUGUAUGAACUGAUGUAUGUAUCAGUUUACUUUGAAAAGGAUGAUGAGUACAUCUCAAUGGAAAUUUUCUGUCUUGGGAAGAUGUCUUUCAAAAGUGAAAUGUAGUAGGUGUGUUUGUAAUUGGUAAUGAGCGAAUAAGUUGGAAGGCAUACCUGUAGGUGGAGAACAAGUUUUGUCUAUCAUGAAUAUUUAAAUUUUUGUGAGUGAUAUCAAAUAUUUAUGUACUUCUCACGAUGCCCUGAAAUGACUGAAAAUGUGGGGAGAAAAAUCAACUCUCUUGUUAACCUCGAGCAGGCCUUGCGUUCUGUUCUCAGUAUGAAACUGAUUGCCAUGAUUACUAGAGGAAUUAUUUUCAUUAGUUGUUUCUCAGGACGUGUCAAGGAAGCAUAUCAAGGAUGAGACACAUAUACUCUAUUCCAAUUAAACGAUCAGUUUUAUGUACUAUAAUUUAACUGAAAAAGUGCUGUCAGGUUGUUUUAUAUAUACACAUCUAUAUAUAUGUAUUAAAAGUACAAAAGAACUUCUGCUUUUGAUUAAACUUUUACUGAUACAGUAUGUCCACCUUUUCUCCAACCAUUUUACAGACUAAGAAACUUUGCAGACUUACAGCUUUCUACACCUCAGUGAACAGCUGCUGAAUAAAAAGGCUUUGUGAUCCGCUUGAAUGAAACACUUUUACCCCACCACAAUCAACUUUAUUUAUUUUUCCUCUCUUUUCCUGUCUCAUUCACUACCUCUUCUUCUCACAGUGCUGCCAUACUCAGGAAUAGAAUGGCUCCCUACAGAGAAUAUUUUGAUGAAAUAAAAUGAAAAACUGCUCUCCCACGCUGUCAGGGAGCUACACCCGUGAUGCUCCCUGAGCUUUACCCAUCAAGGAAGCUCCAUUCACACUCUAAUUUAAGAAAAUUUUUGUUGACAUUUUGCUUUGGAAAAAAAUCAAGUUUACAAAUGUUACAUGCAAAAUGUGAUACAAAGGAUAUAAUGCUGGCAUAAUUCUGUUAAUCAAGCAACCUUUGCCAAAUAUAUGCCUUUUGAGGAACUGGCCAAUUAUUUUUGUUUCUACUCAACUGUAAUUCAUUCACUUGCCCUAAAAAUGUUUAUUUUCUUUAAAAUUCCUUAGAUUACAUUUCCAGUAUCUUCUGCAUUUUUUUCUGCCAUAUCCAUGCAACUAUUUUCCUCUGUGACUUGAAUACCAGUCAUUUAAUAUUUUUGUAUUUUCCAUAGCCCCAAAAAAGGAAAAAGGCAAAAUAGGACUGUUAUCAGAACUCCUUUGCAGACCCAGUAUCCAUAUACUUUCAGAAUCUAAAUCCUAAAGCUAGUGCUUUAGCUCUGUUUGGAUACCAACAUCAGAUCUAUAUAGUGCACACUUUCCAUUGCCUGCGAAAAGAUUUCCAGCUCUUAUAGGUGAUUUUGUCCUCCUCUAUAGUGCCUGAAUAUUGUCUCAGUGAAAAUGUAGAUGCUAUUUCAAAAAAUAUUUAUUGAACGCGUUGGCCACAUAAAGGAGUUUUACUAAACAUUUUCCUUUCAUUACAUAAUGCAACUGUCCUCUCAAUUCUUAUGUUUAUAAAUAUCUGUGAUAUUUCAUCUAGUAGCAACAGACAGAAAAUGAACUCCAGGGUGAACUCAAGAAUGCUAUCAACAAAAGCAAAGCUGACCUCUUCAGAACCUAUUUCUCGCAGACAGUAAGCACAAGCACACUGGAAGUUGAAGAUAAGAAUACAGCUUCACAACAUACUGCAAUACAGUCAAAGAAAGCUGGGUACCUGAAGCACAAAGCUAGCAAAUAAAGCUUGGAAACAUAUCAACAAACCAAAGAAGUUUGUUAGAAAGCAACAAGAGCUGCUCUCUUUUGUUUUGUCAGAAGUCUGUUUCGGUAACGUCAAAAGCAUUUUGAGAAAAUACUUCAUUUCACAAGUGGAUAGAAAUGCUUAUGGGGAGUAGGAGACACAUCUCUAAUCAAGACUUGUUCUAAACCUAUAAGACUUUGCUGGAAGAGGGGCUGAAAUUACCUGAGGUCAGAAAUCUUUUGAAGUGCUCUCUAUAGCAAUAAUUUUUAGCAUGCAUACAGCCUGCAAUAAUGUAUAGCAUGCAUACAGCCUGCAAUAAUGUAUAGCAUGCAUACAGCCUGUGGCACCCACUUAUUUAGGAGUUGCUAAGUGCAGGCAGACUGUGAAAAAACCCUCACCUGUUCAUGGCAAACAGAAAAAAAGGAGUAUUAGUCACAUCUCUCUAUUGCAUUUAUCAGAAAAGGAAUGAAGUUCAUGCUUGUUCAACUCUUGAUCUCUAGUGUAAUAGGCAAUACCAUGAGGAGUAGUGAUCUUUGAGCUAUUUGAUCUCUAGAAAAAAAUCAACAGCCUGUAGCAUAUAAACCAUAUAAACCUCUACUAAGAGUUAGCUCACCAGCCACAUUCAUUAAUUUUCAAUUGGUAACCUAGAAACUGCAGGAUGGUUUUCCAUGACAAAAUAUAAGUCUCCUAAAUGGCUGUGCUUUCUAGCAUGAAAUAUGGUGUUAUUUAUUUACUACUGUUUCUUCCUCAAAAGAAAUGAGGAAUGUGUUCCAAUUAAUCUGUCUUUUAGGGUAUAUAUCAGUGUAUUUAUCUCCUUUUAUACCUGCUGAAAAUAAAUACACGUGGCUUUUAUCCACAUACAGAGUAGCGUGGACUGUGGAGAAAUUGUGAAAAGUUCCUUGAUUAUAGGAACAGAUCCAACAGCAUGGGAACAUUUCAUUUUUCCAUACAUCAUCCAAAUAUUUGUGACUCUUUCCAAACCAACUUGUUUCACAACUUGCAUAUAUAUUAGAACCCUUUACUUUUCCCCACGGACAACUAUGCAUUGUUAGCAGAAGGUAAUAACUGUGCACACCACUGAGGUGGCAAAACUUUAAAAUCAAAGGAUAUGAGGUUUGAUAUAUUAAUUCUGAAAACGCAAAGUUUUGAAAUCUGUGUUUGUUCGUGAUAUUCUAAAUAAAGACUCUUCGCUUUUGAUUUUAGAUGAAGGUGUGUGUUAUCCUGGAAACAUGUGCAGGCACAUGGUGAAAUAAAAGUCCAAGGACACUGUCAAACUGGUUGUUGCAACUGGAAGUCUGUCCAUUCCCAUGACCUUACAGGACAGUGAAAAGUGACAGGUGAAGCUGCUGUGUAUUCAGCAACUAUUAAAAUGACAUGUGCUUUGAAGCAUAAAUAUUACAGUACAGAGGUGAAGGAUUUCCCCUAAAGAAAAUGGAGGCUCCACUCUACUAAUCUACUUUUAGCAUCUUCACAUGCAUACACAGUUUGAUGGAUUUUUAUGGAUAUGGUUAAAACAGAUAUGAAAGGAAGUAAUAAUUAAGCAUGAUGAAUUACAAUUAAAACAUAUUAAGAUGUCAAUAUUGAUAUGAAUGUUGCAAGUUGUAAUGGAGAAUAAAAUUCCAUUUUAAGUAAAUGAAAACUCAAAAUGUAAUAUGCUCUUUAAGAUGAAGGAGUUAAUUUUUUAAAUCCAAUGAAAAUCCCAAAGAGGAGAUAAGGUUUCAUUUUUUUCCUUGUGUACAGAAACCCUCAUGAGGUUCAACAGAUUUACCUCAUUCUGUUCUUACAGACCUAAAAUUGUCAAGAGAAUGGAUACAUUUCACAGUAGUGUGUUCUUUUCUCUAAUAGUAUUUGACAUGACUGAACUUAACCCUUGUUUUUAGUAUGGGCUGCGUGUUGUUUUCGAUCUUUUUAUGAUUGUAUGACAGCGAGACUGCAGCACACAUUGAAAACAGCACAAAAUUAAUCAACUGACUUGGCAAUUUGAUACCAAUAACAAAACUAAAGGUUUCAGUUAAACAUUUAUUCUUAUUGUGGCUCCUAUUUCUAAAAUAGAGCUGUCCUCAUUGAUGUUAAUUGUUCCAUUUCUUGAGUUUCUGUAGAUGACAGGCUUUGACAGGAGAUACUUAUAUUCUAGGACUGCCUUUUGUAAGUUAAACUGAUUUAAGAUGGUUACAAGGAAAAAUCAGACGACACAGAAAAAAAUCUGAUUUUCUACUCAAAUAUGACAUAUGCUCACUCUUUUUCACUUCUUUGAGGUUUUUUUCUUCUUUGAAAAAUGCUAUUUUAGAAAGACAGGUUCUGAAAUCUAAUGAAAAUUACAGGAAUAAGGUAAGAAGCCAACAAAAAAUAGUAAUAAUUAAAAACAAAGCUGAAACCUUUAAAAAGACUGGAAGAAUUUAGUAGAAUUUCAGCACAUAGCAGUGGGACAUGUUGAGUGCAGUACAGCUUUCCAGAACAUUCAACUUUUGAUUUUAUCAAAGCUGAGAACAAUUUUUUGUGUUUAACGCAACUCACAGCUCUAUGAUGCUCUAUCCAAUAGGCUUAGAAGCACUCAGUUCAUUUUCCCUAACAGGGGUGAAAGAGCCAAGAGCCCAGCUAAAGUGCGUUAUGUAAUGUAGUGCUUGAAAGGUAUGCACAAUGCAUCGUAAUUGUUAGUAUACAUUUCUGCAGCCAGAUAUUGCUAAAAAUAUGACGUAAGAGUAUUUGAGAGCUGAUCAGAUUUGCGAUAAUAGCAGCAGUGUUUGCAUUUAGUAUGCCUAAAAAUAUGUACACGGGUGUUCCCAUUUAUGUUUCCAAUUAUAAUUCAGCAAAGUUCUGUGGGAAAAGUCCUCCCUUAAUUUGAUUUUUGUGUAUGUUAUGGAAAUUUAGAAUGAACUAAUAGAUAUCUGCUUCAGACAGUUUGUUUUUUUUUUCAGAGAAAGAUAAAAAGGAAAAGAUACUGUGUAUUUAUAUUAUUUAUAUGACUGUAUCUUAGUGUGAUAAGCUGUUUAUCAUUUAAAUCAUGUUAGAAAACUUACUGCUUCAUAAGAUCACUGAUUUACUUACCGUAACAUUGUAAUUAAGUAAACUGUUAAGAAAAGUGAUAAAUCUCCGUCAAAAUCACCAAAAUACUUUUUGCUAAAACUUCAUAAUUAUUGUUUUAAGUAAGCAUAAAAUUAGAAGAAAAAUGUCAGAGGAGCUAGAAAUUUAUUUUAGUUAUUUUAUCUAAUUGCACUGGCUAACAGUGUUGAUGUGGAGCUAAUAAAUACUAGUUUUUUGAAACUUGCUAUAAAUUUCUAUAUUUCCUCUAUAGUUUCUAGCUUUACUCUUAUGUCCCAGGCACAGGCAGUAAGGUAAAACUUUUUACAAUUCAUCAGAGCCGUGACACAGUGGCAUGGCACAGUCUGCUCCAGCAGACUCUCAGCCUCACAUAGCUGAUGGUAUCUUGAUAAACCUGAGGCUCUCUUAUUUCAAAGGAAGUGUUCACAAACUUCCUAUGUAUUUGUCCUAUGGUAUCCACGUUCUCACCCUUUUCUCAUCAGUCAUUAUUCUGUAAGGAAGGACUAGAAUGGAGAAAACAAAGCAUUAUGGGAGAAAUGAGAAUAUUCUUGCUGGAGGACCACCCUACUAAGUCCUGUGAGCUCACUCCUGGCUCCUCUUCUUAGUCCUUAAAGCAUGAGUUGUUUCAGUAGAGGAGCCCAGCUUCAAGUGGGAGAAUAGGAUGGGAUUUGUCUGCUGCAGCGUACAGUAGGAACUUAGCUAAGGUCUUUCAUUCCCUGGCUGAUUCGGUAUGCAGGAGGCUGUAUGAAGCAACUAUGGUGGCAGAAACAUCUGGGAUGUCAUUUACAAGUGAAAAGCCCAAUCAGUCUUAGUGCUUUGAAGACCACUGUGUCUGUAGCCUCAGUGUGACCCUUCAUACUAGAUGUCAAAGGGAAAGUGGCCACCCUGACCCCCCACAUGUACUCUGACAUCACAUCCCAGCAUGGCAUACCUGUGGAGACACAUCUUGUUCUCAGUAGUCCUGUGCUCUAGACCAGUUCCUCAGGAAUGUGUGAGCGUUUGAAAUGUCUGUUGAAUUGCUGUACUUUCACAUUCAUUAAUGCAAUCUGUGAACCUGGUGUGUAGUUUCUACUCCUGGAGUCUCCAGCCUAUCUUGCAGGCAGGAUUUGGAACUAACCCUUAGUAUCAGACGUACAGAGCUGUUUAGAGGAUUAACUUCUAUUGAGCAUUUGGACUUUAAAGGAAAUAAGCCUUCUUCCACUUGUGCUGGGGAGUACUCACUGAAGCAGGGUUAGUUGGUGUAAGUAAGUAUCAUUGAUUUGAACUUUUACAUAGCUCAGUGACACAGAAGGCUUAGAGGGACACGAUGUGUAGAUAAAAAAGGAAAAUGAACACAGCUCUGACUCCCAAAGGUCUUUAUGAUUACACACAUAUACACACAUACACACAUACACACA